rnacentral:rRNA from 1 species
UACGGAGGGUGCGAGCGUUGUCCGGAAUCAUUGGGCGUAAAGGGCGCGUAGGUGGCCCGGUCAGUUCGUGGUGAAAGCGCGGGGCUCAACCCUGCGUCGGCCAUGAAUACUGCCGCGGCUGGAGCACUGUAGAGGCAGGCGGAAUUCCGGGUGUAGCGGUGGAAUGCGUAGAGAUCCGGAAGAACACCGGUGGCGAAGGCGGCCUGCUGGGCAGUGCUGGACACUGAGGCGCGACAGCGUGGGGAGCAACAGG